AGUGACAGAGAAGUUGGGUUAACAUUCUUACUCAAAAGUGCUUAUAUCUCAAAAUUGAUGGCAUUGCUAUGUUCAGUACAACUUACUGUAUUUUAUUUAUUUUCUUCCUAAAUUUAGGUUUCUCUCUAAGAUCCUAAAGCAAAGCAAAAGCCUACAGUGUGGAAUUUAACUCUCUGCUCCUUUACUGUUUGGAUGAGAGACUGCUAUUCUUUACUAGCCAUUCAUGUCAAACCAAGGGCUCUGAGCCAAGAGGAAAUACCGGCACCAGUCCAGUUCAGGUUUUCAAAGCCUGGACGUGAACACCAAGUUUCUGGAGAACAUGGGUCAUCCACUAAGAUAAUGGCUCCCUGAAGUAGCAACUGAUUCACUAGGGAAAGAAUGCAAUUCCUCUUGUCAGUGCUGAUAGGACAGAUAAGUACUAGAUGUACAGGGAUAUCUUGCUACAAUGGUAGGUUUUACAGCAUACUUUAAAAAUAAGAGAUCUUGCCACUAAUAGAGUGACUCAGGGCUCCACCCCUUUGCAGCUGACAUAUAGUCUGUGGAGCCAGAAUGCUCCCCUAUUGCCUGUUUGAUCAUACGCUGAGAACAAGAGACCUAAGGCAAGCACAUCAGCAGGCAUGAGAGUCUUUUUUGGAAAUUCAGUGGGAGAAAAGAGACAUUUAUAAGAAAACCAGCUUUGCCCUGAGUUGACCUCUCAGGAGAAUUCUUGCCACAACCUUCCCUUCCUACUCAGCAAAGAAAAUAUCCAGGAAAGAGCUUGGGAUGCUUUCUGGCCUCAGACAAAGUCUAAGGAAGACAGCCUUGAGUGAUCAGCUUUGAACAGAUAACAUCCCGCUGUCUCAUGAGCUCCCUGGAGUACCUGGGAUGGUCACAGUGGUUUAAGUAAAAGCAUGCUACAGAAGCCACUGAAUUGAGCACAUUAAGACAAGAGGAAGGUGACAUCCCCAUCGUAGGUAAGCUGCAGAACUGCAGGCUGUACUAUGUCAGAAGCCAAAAACAGACGAUAAUUUGGGGGCACAUGGUAGGGAACCCGGAUAACUAUUCUCCAACAGUUCAACUGGUUGUUCAUUCCUUCUUGCUUGCUUCGUGUGCUGCUUUAGCGUUACACAAUAGUUUCUUCCCAGUGUCCGCCUUUUCAGGUCACGGCCUAAUUACAAUUACAUGCAAAGGAGGCUGCAGCAGCUUCAGAGGAGUUCCCUGUGGCAGCGGUUCCCGGCUCACCCUGUCAAAGUUGGGAUCGGCGUCCCCUAGCUUCAUCCACUUGUGCUUGCAGAUCUGCUCCAUGGAGAGGCGCUUAUUGGGGUCUAACACCAGCAUAUGACGGAUCAAAUGCUCACAUUCUGCAAUGGACAAACAGCCUGCCUUCAGUCUCUGAUGCCUUGAAAAUCAAGGAUGUCCUAAGAAGCUUGCUACAGAUCCCCCAGAUGUCUACAGACCCCAGAUGAAGAACUCCUGGUUACAGUGUCAAGGGCAAGAGCUUUUUAAUCUUGUCCAUCCUAUAUAACAUCCAAUGUGCCAAGGAACAGAAAUCUAACAUUUUUCAUAUGUGGCACAGAUGGAAACGAUGACAAAAUGCAGAAAGCUAGAGUAUCGUCAUCAACUCAUAAUUCCUAAGUGUCAUGUAGUUCAUUAAAUUAAAUUCAGAUGAGAUUUAAAGACACCAUUCUACAUAAAAUGUGAAAACAGGGUGAAAAUGAAGGGAACAAAUGCUCUCAAACCUAAGAACACAAUCUUAAUUUGCGGUAGCUUUGUGUUUUUUCAAAAAAAAAGAACACAAUCACCCACAGGACAUUCAAUUUACAAGUGCGGAAAGAUGGAGCCCUCGUGUCAAACAAAGCAUCAACUUUUCCUGAUGCCAAGAAGGACUUUAUUUUAUUGUCUAAAAGGGCCCUAUUGGCCAGGCAUGGUGGCUCAAGUCUAUAAUCCCAGCACUUUGGGAGGUUGAGGU